AUUCAUAUAGCUUAUAAAGAGUAUAAUAUUGAAGAUAUUAAGGAAAAUUUAUUUUUAUGGAUA
rnacentral:tRNA from 1 species